rnacentral:rRNA from 1 species
AAUAGAUACCCGGGUAGUCCACGCCAUAAACGAUGGGCACUAGGUGUGGGGGGUGUCGACUCCCUCCGUGCCGAAGCUAACGCAUUAAGUGCCCCGCCUGGGGAGUACGGCCGCAAGGCUAAAACUCAAAGGAAUUGACGGGGCCCGCGACAAGCAGCGGAGCAUGUGGUUUAAUUCGACGCAACGCGAAGAACCUUACCCGGGCUUGACAUGUGCCUGACCGCCCUGGAAACAGGGCUUCCCUUCGGGGCAGGUUCACAGGUGGUGCAUGGCUGUCGUCAGCUCGUGUCGUGAGAUGUUGGGUUAAGUCCCGCAACGAGCGCAACCCCCGUCGCAUGUUGCCAGCAUUUAGUUGGGGACUCAUGCGAGACUGCCGGUGACAAACCGGAGGAAGGUGGGGAUGACGUCAAGUCAUCAUGCCCCUUAUGUCCGGGGCUACACACGUGCUACAUUGGCGCGUACAGAGGGCUGCGAUACCGUGAGGUGGAGCGAAUCCCUUAAAGCGCGUCUCGGUUCGGAUAGCAGGCUGAAACUCG